AAUUGACGGGGCCCGCACAAGCGGUGGAGCAUGUGGUUUAAUUCGAAGCAACGCGAAGAACCUUACCAGGUCUUGACAUCCCGAUGCUAUUUCUAGAGAUAGAAAGUUACUUCGGUACAUCGGUGACAGGUGGUGCAUGGUUGUCGUCAGCUCGUGUCGUGAGAUGUUGGGUUAAGUCCCGCAACGAGCGCAACCCUCGACCUUAGUUGCCAGCAUUCAGUUGGGCACUCUAAGGUGACUGCCGGCUAAAAGUCGGAGGAAGGUGGGGAUGACGUCAAAUCAUCAUGCCCCUUAUGACCUGGGCUACACACGUGCUACAAUGGGCGGUACAAAGGGUCGCGAACCCGCGAGGGGGAGCCAAUCCCAAAAAGCCGCUCUCAGUUCGGAUUGUAGGCUGCAACCCGCCUGCAUGAAGAUGGAGUUGCUAGUAACCGCAGGUCAGCUAUACUGCGGUGAAUACGUUCCCGGGGCUU
rnacentral:rRNA from 1 species